CCCCCUCCGCACCCCUAUCCUCGCCUCUUUCCUUCCCUGCCUGCUGCCCUCCCUACGGCAGCUCCUCUGCUUCGGCCCGGCCCUCCAUGUGCCGCCACGCCCCCACUCACCCCCGUCGCCGCGGCCACAGGACCUCGCCUCGCCCCGCCCCGCCCCGCCCAAUGCCGACGCUGAUUCCGGCACCAUGCACGCACGACACGACGCCACGCCUCGCUCGCCUUCGUCGAGGUCGUCCGAUGCAGCCCAAGCACGGUGUGCCUCGGCCUUGGCCACGCGCUCGGCCAUGACUAGCAGCGACUCAUGAAGCGCUUGGGCACAUGGGCUGCGGCCAAGCGGCGGUAGCGUCGCAGGGGCCAUGUGGAAGCCGGCGGUUGAGGAUUGAGCAUUGGACGGAUGCAUCUAGAUCAGACCUGUCCUAUAUGGCCGAGCAAGAUCGAGGACGGCCGCCGAUAAUGUUCUCCUCGUGUGCAAGCUCCGCACUGCACUGAAGCAUCCAACACAUGCUUUUUCCUUUGAAUGAUCUGAGAAAUAUAUUUGGAUCAGGGAAGCAUGAAGCACAAGCAAUCAUCUCAGAUAUCGAAUCUCAAGCAUAUAGAAAUAGGCUUGCAAAAAUCUUUAGUACUGAUUUGGCUGUUGCUCCUAACAAAGCCUCCAAAAUCUCUGCGAAGAGUUACAGUAUGAUCCUGAACUUGCGAGCAAGAUGCAUAAAGGUACCAUCCUGACACCUGUUUUUUAUUCCAUCAUUAGUUUUACAGCAUAGUUUUAUAUUAGCUAGAAAUUUGGUCCUGCUCCUGCUAGCAAGAUGUGUACCGUAUUAGCUACAGUUUGAAGGUUAUAAUCCUUUUGUUUCCAGACUGAAAGCUAUUAUUAUUCCAAAUUUCUUUUGUGAAGAUGUUUUAUACAUGGCGUUCAGAUCCUAGCACUCUGAAAUCACCUAUUGGCAAUCCAUAUCAAAUGGUGCUACCGCAUCCGUCCUACUCUGUUUCCUUUAGUGGGUGCAAACCUUUGUUUAUGUUUUAACUAUAUAAUAUUUGCCUAUCAACUGAUUUUCCGCUAUCCUAUUUUGUUCCUGCCAAAGGUUCUUCUGUUCUAUAUAUUUGUGCAGUUCUCAUGUUAACUGGAAAGUACUAAAGUACCAAUGUUAUCUAUCCUAGCUGCACAAAACUACAAUUUUCUUGUUUUAAUAAUACGAGGUAUAAGAAAGUGCAGCGGUCAUGGCUUGUACUCAUGCUUGAGGAUAUUUUGGUUAGGCUCCUGGACUGCCUCGUGGUCACAGUGAAGAUGUGACACUUGUGGUUAUCUUCAUGUGGCAUUGAUGGUCAGAGAAACAAACAAAGCUGGAGUGUGGUAAUAGUCAGGGACAUGUACCCGACUGUGAUGUCACCUUGGCCAUGCCCUUCUUUGUGAACUAUUAUGUAUAAAAUAUCCAGAAAAAGCUUAUCGAGACUAUUGAUAGUGCUUCUCUAAUGCUCAAGUAAUGUAGUAAACGGUGAGAUGAACGCCGCCCAUGUUGUCGUCUCAGCCAUAUGGACAUAAUCUAAGGAUGGGAUCCACUCGCCUCAAGAAGGACGAUGACCACAACGAGUACUACCAUUGAACUGAAGGAGCCAGGUGCGGGCGUUCCUCGAGAUAUUUCCAGUAGCCUCGCAGCCGAAGAAGCCGAAGUGGGUGGUGCGGAACGGGUGCUGCAAGCUAGACAAGGGGCCCAAAUAUGUUUCCACUGUAGGCACAUGUUGGUAGCAGACAAAGUGUGCAAAAAAGCACUCGAAGGCCAUUACCUUCAGUUUCAGUAAGAGGGAAACAAUUGUGUAGAAUGCCCUCUUGUUUGAUCUGAUAUAUGCCCAAGAGAUUGGCAGUCCUUGAUUUGAUUAUGUGCCAAUCAUUAAAGCAAACAAGGAGUGAAGUAUUAGGAGAACUUCACAUUUUGAGCACCAAGGAUGUCUCAUUGAUUACAAUAUUGAUCAUGUUGCUUAGAAGAGAUAUGAGCAGAAGUAUUAUCAUUUGUGAAUACUCUUUUCGAGUGAGAUGAGCAGCAGUAGCAAGAUAGAUAACAAUGUUAAAGUAUCUUAUUAUUUGUUAUUUUGAAUUUUUUGUGAUAGAGCAGGCAUUUAUUUCGAUAUGAUUUAACUGUUAA